rnacentral:tRNA from 1 species
UUAAUUGAAACCAAAAAGAGGUUUAUCACUGUUAAUGAUAACACUGAAAUAAUUUUAAUUUCCAAUUAAA